AGGUCGAAAAGAACAAGACAAAAAAAUUAUGGGGAAAAAAAAUAAUGCUCCUACUGCUGGAACAAUUGCAAGCACAGGCUUACGAUGCCCAGGAGUAGGCCCAUUCCAAUGCCGAAUGACUUUAAGGUCUGAUGCCGUAUCCCAGUCGUUUGGUUCCGUCGUGGAACCGAAACGGCUAGGAUUUCGUCUUCUUUUUUCGAUUUAGCCAAAGCUUCCUCGUAAGCUUUGGCUACUUCUUCUUUCUCGGCGAUGGCCUGUUUCUCCUGCUUUUCUUUUAGGCUACGCUCACCCCAAAGGAACAAAAACGAUUUUUUUUUUUUUUUUUUUGUUAGGGGAGAAAAAUAAAUAAAACAAAUGAAUAAAUAAAUAAAAAUAAUAAGGACGAUCUAGUUUACUUACUCCCUAC